CCCUAAGAAGCUAAUUCGGAUGAAGCAUUAGACUCUUAAUCUAAAGUUUGGUAGUUACCACCUAUCCUUAGGGA
rnacentral:tRNA from 1 species